AGCCAGCCUGCAAUAGUGACGUUAGCUAUAUUCGAUUAUUCAACUUUCUGGCCAGGCAUUGUACCAGGUGCUUUGAUCCUCAUCACAACCGUAAGGCAGACCCCUCAUACCCCUCAGGAUUCAGGGGACAGAGCUUAACUCCAGAUUGAGUUCUAGACAGUUAUUUCUUCCAUACCCUGAAUGCAGAAGGGAACAUAGCUUGAGUGAUUAUUAUGUCUUAGGCACUGGUCUCAGACCUUUAUAUUUGUAGCUCAUUCUCUUCUCACAAUAACCACACAAGGGACAGAUUGUUUCCCUCUAUGUUACAGACAAAAGAUGUGAGGCUCAGAGACAUUUAAGUGACUUGUCCAAGGUCAAAGAACAGAUUUCUGUAGGAUGUUUGUCUACCUGAGCUGGAAGUAGCAGAUUACUUUAUUCUGAAGACCCUCAUGCUGGCUGAUGCUGGAAGCAAGAAGAAGCCAGGGAGCAUGGGAGCCAUUCAAUGUCAUGCAGGUCAGCACCUGAGGCAGACCCCAGGUGCAGAAGUAUUGAGAGUGGGUCCAGAAGGACAGAUGGAGGACAGGAAGUACAUUCACAACAAGAAGGAAAAACGUCAAUGUUGUGGGGUGGAGAGAGAGGUGCAAAAUCUGGGCUUCUUUUGGCCUUGGACAAUGACAAGCGCAUAGUAGCAACAGAAACUAAGUUUGUAGUUUCCUACUGGGGAGUUUGGGAGGACACUCACUUCUAGUUCUGUCUUCCCCACUUGAAUUUUGAUUGUGGUUAUACUGAAUUUAUAGAAAUUUGGGGUUAACUGACUUGUUUUUAUUACUAAAUCAUACCAUGCAAAAACAGGAUGUUUUCUCAUUUAUUGAAAUCAUUUUGUUUGCUCUUUAUUAUGGUUUUUAAACUUUACUUUUUCAUAGUAGUCCUGAGUAUGCUCAGUUAAUUCUUAGGCAUGUUGUAGCUUUUGCUGCUAUUGUGAUUGGUAUCUUAUUGCAAUUCUACUUUUGAAUCAGUAAUUUCUGAUGUAGAAGAAUGUAUCUAAUUUAAAAAAUUGUGGUUAAAAAAAUAACAUUUACCGUCUUAACCACUUUGAAGUGUACAGCUCAGCAGUGUUAAGUAUAUUCACAUUUUUGUGCAACCAAUCUCCAGAACUCCUUUUCACCUUGCAAAACCAGAACUCUACACCCAUUAAACAACAACUCCUCAUUUCUCUCUUCCUCUAGCCCCUGGCUACUAUCACUCUACAUUCUGUUUCUAUGAAUCUGACUACUUCAGAUACCCUGUACAAGUGCAAUCAUGGAGUUUUUGUCUUUUGGCGAUUGGCUUAUUUCACUUAGCUUAAUGUCCUUAAAAUUCAUACUUGUUGCAGCAUGUAAGAGUGCUUUCUUCCUUUUUAGGCUGAAUAAUAAGCUACUGUAUGUAUAUGCCAUAUUUUGUUUGCCCAUUCAUCUGUCUAUGGACAUCUUUGUUGCUUCCACCUCUUGGCUAUCGAGAAUAGUGCUGCUAUGAAUAUGGGGGAAAAUAUCUGCUUAAGUCCCUGCUUUCAAUUCUUUUGCAUUUAUACCCAGAAGUGGACUCUUGGGUCAUAUAGUAGUUUUACUACUGAUUUUUUGAGGAACUGCCGUACUGUUUCCCAUAGCAGUUACACAUUUUACAAUCCCACGAACAUUGCAUAUAAAGGUUCUAAUGUCUCUACAUCCUCACCAACACUUAUUUCUUCCCUCCCUCUCUCCCUUCCUUCCUUCCUUCCUUCUUUCCUUUCCUCCUUCAUUUGCUCCCUCCUUCAUUCCCUCCCUUCUUUCCUUUUUCCUUUCAUUUUUAUAGUAGCCAUGCUAAUGAGAAUUAGAUGAUGUUAUGGUUUUAAUUUGCACUUCUCUAAUAAUAAGUAAUGCUGAGCAUCUUUUCAUAUGUGUGUUUGCCACUUGUAUAUCAUCUUUGGAAAAAUGUCUGUUGAAGUUUGUUGCCCCCUUUUUAACUGUUUGUAUAAACAAUUAUUGUUGGGUUUUAUGAGUUCUUUACAUAUUCUGAAUAUUAACCCUUUAUUGGAUAUAUGAUAUUCAAAUACUGAUAUAUGAUUUUCAAAUAUUAGAAAUUAAUAAUUUUUGUAAGUUGAUCUUAUAUGGGACAACCUUGCUCGAUCCUCUUAUUGGUUUUAGUGGGGUUUUUGUUGUUGUUGUUGUCAUUGUUGUUAUUGAUAUUCUCUCUGUCUCUCUCUUUUUCCAGGUAGAUAAUAGUAUCAUCUGCGAGCAUUGUUUUGUGUUUUCCCUCUUAAUCCUUAGUGUUUUAUUUUUCAUGUUGUUGACUAGGAUCUUCAAUGCUGUGUCAAACAGUAGGGUGAUAAUGAGCAUUACUCUUAAAGGAAAUAAACCUAAAUAUUCUCCAUUAAGUAUAAAUUUUGCUGUAUAUUGUAGAUUCACAUGCAGUGGUAAGAAAUAAUAAAAACAAUCCUGUGUAUCCUUUACCCAGUUUCCCUUGAUGGUAACAUUUUGCAAAACUAUGGUACAAUAUCACAAUUAGGAUACAUGGAUACAGCCACAAUACAGAACACUUCUAUGAUCACAAGGAUUCUUCACCUUGCCCUUUUCUAGACACACCCACUUCCCUACCAUCCCAUACCCUCCUUAAUGUCUAGCAAUCACUAAUCUCUUAUCCAUUUCUAUGACUUUGUCACUUCAAGACAAAUUUUUUUUUGUCAUUUUAAAACAAAUGAUUAAUAAAUGGAAACAUAUAGUAUA